UACGAAGGGGGCUAGCGUUGUUCGGAAUUACUGGGCGUAAAGCGCACGUAGGCGGAUCGAUCAGUCAGGGGUGAAAUCCCGGAGCUCAACUCCGGAACUGCCUUUGAUACUGGCAAUCUAGAGACUGGAAGAGGUUAGUGGAAUUCCCAGUGUAGAGGUGAAAUUCGUAGAUAUUGGGAAGAACACCAGUGGCGAAGGCGGCUAACUGGUCCAGUACUGACGCUGAGGUGCGAAAGCGUGGGGAGCAAACAGG
rnacentral:rRNA from 1 species